rnacentral:rRNA from 1 species
GACGAACGCUGGCGGCGUGCUUAACACAUGCAAGUCGAACGGAAAGGCCCUGCUUUUGUGGGGUGCUCGAGUGGCGAACGGGUGAGUAACACGCGAGUAACCUGCCCUUGACUUUGGGAUAACUUCAGGAAACUGGGGCUAAUACCGGAUAGGAGCUCCUGCUGCAUGGUGGGGGUUGGAAAGUUUCGGCGGUUGGGGAUGGACUCGCGGCUUAUCAGCUUGUUGGUGGGGUAGUGGCUUACCAAGGCUUUGACGGGUAGCCGGCCUGAGAGGGUGACCGGCCCAAUGGGGCCUGGGAUACGGCCCAAGCUCCUAGGGGGGGCAGAGGGGGGGAAUAUUGCAAAAGGGGGGGAAGCCUGAUGCAGCAACGCCGGGUGGGGGAUGACGGCCUUGGGGUUUAAAACCGCUUUCGCCUGGGACGAAGGGUGGGUGACGGUAAUGGGUAAAGAAGCACCGGCUAACUACGG